rnacentral:rRNA from 2 species
AGACUGGGAUAACUCCCGGGAACCCGGGGCUAAUACCGGAUGGUUGUUUGAACCGCAUGGUUCAAACAUAAAAGGUGGCUUCGGCUACCACUUACAGAUGGACCCGCGGCGCAUUAGCUAGUUGGUGAGGUAACGGCUCACCAAGGCAACGAUGCGUAGCCGACCUGAGAGGGUGAUCGGCCACACUGGGACUGAGACACGGCCCAGACUCCUACGGGAGGCAGCAGUAGGGAAUCUUCCGCAAUGGACGAAAGUCUGACGGAGCAACGCCGCGUGAGUGAUGAAGGUUUUCGGAUCGUAAAGCUCUGUUGUUAGGGAAGAACAAGUACCGUUCGAAUAGGGCGGUACCUUGACGGUACCUAACCAGAAAGCCACGGCUAACUACGUGCCAGCAGCCGCGGUAAUACGUAGGUGGCAAGCGUUGUCCGGAAUUAUUGGGCGUAAAGGGCUCGCAGGCGGUUUCUUAAGUCUGAUGUGAAAGCCCCCGGCUCAACCGGGGAGGGUCAUUGGAAACUGGGGAACUUGAGUGCAGAAGAGGAGAGUGGAAUUCCACGUGUAGCGGUGAAAUGCGUAGAGAUGUGGAGGAACACCAGUGGCGAAGGCGACUCUCUGGUCUGUAACUGACGCUGAGGAGCGAAAGCGUGGGGAGCGAACAGGAUUAGAUACCCUGGUAGUCCACGCCGUAAACGAUGAGUGCUAAGU